rnacentral:rRNA from 1 species
AUACGGAGGAUCCGAGCGUUAUCCGGAUUUAUUGGGUUUAAAGGGUGCGCAGGCGGGAGAUUAAGUCGGCGGUGAAAUUUUUCAGCUCAACUGUAAAAGGGGCUUCGAAACUGGUUUCCUUGAGUGUAGAUGAAGUAGGCGGAAUUUGUGGUGUAGCGGUGAAAUGCAUAGAUAUCACGAGGAAAUCCGAUUGCGCAGGCAGCUUACUAAACUACUACUGACGCUCAGGCACAAAGGCGUGGGGAUCAAACAGGAUUAGAUACCCUGGUAGUCCACGCAGUAAACGAUGAUUACUAGCUGUUUGCGAUACAAUGUAAGCGGCUGAGCGAAAGCGUUAAGUAAUCCACCUGGGGAGUACGUUCGCAAGAAUGAAACUCAAAUGAAUAGACGGGG